UACAGAGGUCUCAAGCGGUGUUCGGAUUCAUUGGGCGUAAAGGGUGCGUAGGCGGCGCGGUAAGUCGGGUGUGAAAUCUCGGAGCUUAACUCCGAAACUGCAUUCGAUACUGCCGUGCUUGAGGACUGGAGAGGAGACUGGAAUUUACGGUGUAGCGGUGAAAUGUGUAGAGAUCGGGAGGAACACCGGUGGCGAAGGCGGGUCUCUGGGCAAUUCCUGACGCUGAGGCGCGAAAGCGUGGGGAGCAAACGGG
rnacentral:rRNA from 1 species